UACGUAGGCAGCGAGCGUUGUUCGGAGUUACUGGACGUAAAGCGUGCGUAGGCGGUGUCUUAAGUUUGUUGUGAAAUCUCCCGGCUUAACCGGGAGGGUGCGGCGAAUACUGAGAUGCUGGAGUGCCGGAGAGGUAAGCGGAAUUCCUGGUGUAGCGGUGAAAUGCGUAGAUAUCAGGAGGAACACCUGCGGUGUAGACGGCUUACUGGACGGUAACUGACGCUGAGGCACGAAAGCGUGGGUAGCAAACAGG
rnacentral:rRNA from 1 species